UUCGCAAUGCCCGAAAGGGUGACGAAGCGACGCCGCGUGGGUGAGGAAGGCCUUCGGGUUGUAAAGCCCUGUCAGGAGUUAAGAAAUGUAGACUCGCUAAUAUCGUAUCUAUUUGACAAAGGCUCCAAAGGAAGCCACGGCUAACUCUGUGCCAGCAGCCGCGGUAAUACAGAGGUGGCAAGCGUUGUUCGGAAUUAUUGGGCGUAAAGAGCACGUAGGUGGAUUUGUAAGUCAGAUGUGAAAGCCUUCUGUUCAACGGAAGAAUUGCAUCUGAAACUACAAACCUUGAGUAUAGGAGGGGAGAAUGGAACUUCUGGUGGAGCGGUGAAAUGCGUAGAUAUCAGAAGGAACGCCGGCGGCGAAAGCGAUUCUCUGGCCUAUUACUGACACUCAGUGUGCGAAAGCUAGGGGAGCAAACGGGAUUAGAUACCCCGGUAGUCCUAGCUGUAAACGAUGGGCACUAAGUAGAGGGGUUUU
rnacentral:rRNA from 2 species